ensembl:lncRNA
CUUGAUUGAUAGAUGUUAUUGAUCAUAGCGAUACGGUUUUAGCGUUUUCCGUGUUUCCCCUUCCUGUAUUCAGCAGUGGCGUGCCGCCACCGCUAGGAAAGUUAGCUCCGCUCCUGUUUGGAUUGAUAGUUUGGUGAAACGUGACAACGGGGAUGUUUCGUGCUCGACACUGAACAGCCAUCCGACAUAUCAAACAAACAAAAAGAAUCUGUAGACUACAAAGCCAAUGGAAAUAAUUAUCCUUUAAUUAUAUCCUGGGCCUUUAUAUGUUCUAAAUAGGCAGGUCAGUAUUUUUAACCGUUCAUCUUAAUGCCACCACCACACAGUCUGGACACUUUGAUUAUUAUCAGUCCAAUCGCUAUGGAAUGUUUUGUAUGCCUUGAUUUCCUUCCCAGUUUAGACAUUAAGUCUACAUAUCCGUUUUAAUCGUCUACUGGCUACUGGCUCCAAAUAAAGGUGACCUCCUAAUUAAUUCUCGUUCUCGUCUCGACCUUCUGGCUCACAACUAAUCCCAGAGCAUUCAUUCCCAUACGCCCACCUUGUUAACUCGUUAAUUAACUUCACCUGUCUCUCACACGCACCCACACGUCUAUAUUAAGGUGCUCACGUAGGUUUGGUUUAAUUUUUAUGUCUUUAGCCUCGCUUAUCAGGUUUUCGCACCAGGUAGUGCGCUCGCGUUUUCCGUCAAUUUCAGCUAAACUCAAAAGGGACCCACCGCUACUUAUAAACGUGUUUUUGUGUGCUACUUUUGACUGAACAAUCCUGACAAACAUGUCAACCAGAGGAAGGUCUUCAACAAAGAACACCACAUUGUAACUGGGUUUUUGAUCGUGGACAGUAAGGGUUCUCUGCCUGAUGACUCCAUUGAACGCCCCCUUGUGCGGCAAGGAAUCGUCUUAUCUCCUGCCAGUUGUAAAUGGUGUUGCAGUGUACCGCGUGCUAAAGGAGCCUGGGAAAGGAGGAGUCAAAGCGCCUUUCCUUAGCAGUUGGACAAUAAUUGGACCCGCUCUCAUCAUGGCUGCCACUCCUGGGUCAUUUUACUCUACCUUUCUGUCCACAAACCUCAUCUCCCUUGUAAAUGGUUUUCCUGUUAAUACUUAAACUAAAAUGGUUGCUAUUAUUUUAACUUGUGUCGCUUCGUGAAUAAAAACUAUUUACAAAUAUUUGCAUUUUAUUGAUGAAUCCAGAAAAAGGUUUUCAUAUUGAACAGAAGAAAAUUGAAUUUUUAGGCAAGUUGGCUGCAAGCUAUUGGGUGAAAAGGGAUUUCAGUUGUGCAAACACCUCACUUGCAUCAAUGUCAUGUGUUGAUUC